rnacentral:rRNA from 1 species
AAUAGAUACCCAGGUAGUCCACGCCGUAAACGAUGAGUGCUAGGUGUCGGAGGGGUCCACCCUGCGGUGCCGAAGUAAACACAUUAAGCACUCCGCCUGGGGAGUACGGUCGCAAGACUGAAACUCAAAGGAAUUGACGGGGGACCCGCACAAGCAGUGGAGUAUGUGGUUUAAUUCGAAGCAACGCGAAGAACCUUACCAGGUCUUGACAUCCCUCUGACCGGUGCAGAGAUGUGCCUUUCCUUCGGGACAGAGGAGACAGGUGGUGCAUGGUUGUCGUCAGCUCGUGUCGUGAGAUGUUGGGUUAAGUCCCGCAACGAGCGCAACCCUUGACUUUAGUUGCCAGCACUUCGGGUGGGCACUCUAGAGUGACUGCCGGUGACAAACCGGAGGAAGGCGGGGAUGACGUCAAAUCAUCAUGCCCCUUAUGACCUGGGCUACACACGUACUACAAUGGCCGGUACAACGGGCAGCGAAGGAGCGAUCUGGAGCCAAUCCUAUCAAAGCCGGUCUCAGUUCGGAUUGCAGG